rnacentral:lncRNA from 1 species
AAUGGCAUUGGCCAUUGUUUUGAUUUCAACUAGUGUGGUUUCUGCUGCUGCAGAUAGUUAUAUUUACUCUUCUCCUCCACCACCUUACGAGUAUAAGUCGCCACCGCCACCAUCACCUUCACCACCACCUCCUUAUGUUUACAAAUCGCCACCUCCUCCAUCCCCAUCACCUCCACCACCUUAUGAGCACAAGGCUCCUGCUUAUGAGUACAAGUCACCACCACCACCAACUCCUUCACCACCACCUCCUUAUGUGUACAAGUCACCACCACCGCCAUCUCCUUCACCACCACCUCCUUAUGUGUACAAGUCACCACCACCACCCUCACCUUCCCCACCACCACCAUACUACUACAAGAGUCCUCCACCACCUUCUCCUUCACCUCCACCUCCUUACUACUACAAAUCUCCUCCACCACCCUCACCUUCCCCACCACCACCAUACUAUUACAAGUCUCCUCCACCACCAUCUCCCUCACCUCCACCACCAUAUUACUACAAGUCUCCCCCACCACCCUCACCCUCCCCUCCACCCCCAUAUAUACACAAGGAUCCACCAUACUAUUACAAGUCCCCACCACCACCUUCACCAUCUCCUCCACCACCAUACUACUACAAAUCUCCCCCACCCCCUUCACCGUCUCCUCCACCACCAUACUACUACAAAUCUCCUCCUCCUCCAUCUCCUAUUCCCAAAACACCUUACUACUACAAAUCUCCCCCACCCCCUUCACCAUCUCCUCCACCACCAUACUACUACAAAUCUCCCCCACCCCCUUCACCGUCUCCUCCACCACCAUACUACUAUAAAUCUCCCCCACCACCGUCACCCUCUCCACCACCACCUUACUAUUACAAGUCUCCUCCCCCACCUUCACCAUCUCCUCCACCACCAUACUACUACAAAUCUCCUCCUCCUCCAUCUCCUAUUCCCCAUACACCUUACUAUUACAAAUCUCCCCCACCACCUUCACCAUCUCCUCCACCACCAUACUACUACAAAUCUCCUCCUCCUCCAUCUCCUAUUCCCCGUACACCUUACUAUUACAAAUCUCCCCCACCACCUUCACCAUCUCCUCCACCACCAUACUACUACAAAUCCCCUCCUCAUCCAUCUCCCAUUCCCCAUACACCUUACUAUUACACAUCUCCCCCACCACCUUCACCGUCUCCUCCACCACCAUAUUACUACAAAUCUCCUCCCCCUCCGUCUCCUAUUCCCCACACACCUUACUACUACAAGUCCCCACCACCACCAAAGGUCCUUCCACCACCAUACUAUUACAAUUCUCCUCCUCCACCUGUUGUGUAUCCUCACCCAUAUCCCUACCACCACUCACUUAUUGUGAGGGUAGUCGGUAAAGUCUACAGCUUCAGAUGUUAUGAUUGGAAUUAUCCUGCAAAGUCUCAUAACAAGAAACAUCUCAAAGGUACAUUACAUUUCUUAGGACCGGACCUCUUUAGAGUAAUGUGUUUAGAGAUAAUGCACAAUUUUUUAUUUUUUUAUCUCGUAAAGGUUUAUUUAUUAUAAUCACAAUUUCACUUUUGUCAAAAAGAAAAACAAUUUUACUAUAUAUAGUUUUAAUCAUUAACAUUUUGAUGUAAAAAGAAUACAAUUCUCUAUUACCUUUUUACUAUGAUAUAUAUACAAAGAUUAUUCAAAUCUAUAUAUCCAACCUAAUUUCCAUCCAAAAAAAUAGAAAACAUAGGGUGCUUUGAACGCCUGCAGCAUCACAUGAAUAAAUAAAAACAAUCAAUAAUCAACCUUGUUCUAAUUUAUUUUAGACAGCGAUUGUUAAGCAUACUGCUCUUUUAAUUACAUUUUUUUUAAAGAUGCUCUUUUAAUUAUAUUGUCCUAAUAUAAUAUGUGUCUUUAUAUAUUACUUGUCGUAAACUAAUUUUAUUAUGGGUGCAGGAGCUGUUGUUGAGGUGACAUGCAAAGCCGGGAGCAAAAUUGUCAAGGCUUAUGGAAAAACUAAGAACAAUGGAAAGUAUGCCAUCACAGUUAAGGACUUUGACUAUGUCAAAUAUGGUUCGACAGUGUGCAAGGCUGCCCUAUAUGCUCCACCUAAGGGUUCACCCUUCAACAUACCUACAAAGCUAAAUCAAGGAACAAAGUUGUACUUGAAAUCCAAAGACAAGUACGAGGUUGUGCUCAAGGCUAAGCCAUUUGCUUAUGCUUCAAAGAAACAUUUCAAAGAAUGUGAGAAGCCUAAGCCUUCACCAACUCCUUACUACUACAAAUCACCUCCACCUCCCUCACCAGUUUACAAAUACAACUCACCACCUCCACCGGUCCAUUAUUAUUCACCUCCAUACACCUACAAGUCACCUCCUCCCCCUGUGAAAGCGGCACCAACUCCUUACUACUACAAAUCACCUCCACCACCCGCACCGGUUUACAAGUACAACUCACCCCCUCCACCGGUCCAUUAUUAUUCACCACCAUAUACCUAUAAGUCACCUCCUCCCCCUGUGAAAGCGGCACCAACUCCUUACUACUACAAAUCACCUCCACCUCCCGCACCGGUUUACAAGUACAACUCCCCACCUCCACCGGUCCAUUAUUAUUCACCUCCAUAUACCUACAAGUCACCUCCUCCCCCUGUGAAAGUGGCACCAACUCCUUACUACUACAAAUCACCUCCACCACCCGCACCGGUUUACAAGUACAACUCACCACCUCCACCGGUCCAUUAUUAUUCUCCACCAUACUACUACAAGUCACCACCCCCACCAUCUCCAUCACCUCCUCCACCAUACUAUUUCAAAUACUAUUACAAGUCCCCACCUCCACCAUCACCAUCCCCUCCUCCACCUUAUUAUUACAAAUCUCCUCCUCCACCAAAACAAAUUUCACACCCUCCAUACUACUAUAAGUCACCACCCCCACCAUCACCAUCACCUCCUCCACCAUACUAUUAUAAGUCUCCACCUCCACCAUCACCAUCUCCCCCACCACCUUAUUAUUAUAAGUCACCACCCCCACCAUCCCCGUCCCCUCCUCCACCAUACUACUACAAGUCUCCACCUCCACCUAAAGAAAUAUCACAUCCUCCAUAUAACUAUAAGUCACCACCCCCACCAUCACCAUCCCCUCCCCCUCCAUACUAUUACAAAUCUCCUCCACCACCAUCACCAUCACCACCACCUCCCUACUAUUACAAAUCACCUCCACCACCAUCACCAUCACCUCCCCCUCCAUACUAUUACAAAUCUCCUCCACCACCAUCACCAUCACCACCACCUCCUUACUAUUACAAAUCACCUCCACCACCAUCCCCAUCACCACCACCUCCAUACUACUACAAAAGUCCCCCUCCACCAUCUCCAUCUCCUCCAUCCCCAUAUUACUACAAAUCUCCACCACCACCAUCACCAUCCCCACCCCCUCCCUACUAUUACAAAUCACCUCCACCUCCCUCACCAUCACCGCCACCUCCUUACUAUUACAAAUCACCUCCACCUCCCUCACCAUCACCGCCACCUCCUUACUAUUACAAAUCUCCCCCACCUCCAUCUCCAUCUCCACCACCUCCUUACCACUAUCAAAGUCCUCCUCCACCAUCUCCCAUUUCUCAUCCUCCCUACUACUACAAAUCCCCUCCACCACCAUCGCCGUCUCCUCCACCUCCUUACCACUAUGUGAGUCCUCCCCCACCAGUAAAGUCACCUCCACCACCAACUUAUAUCUAUGCUUCACCACCACCACCUCACUACAACUAAGCUCAAAGAGCAGAAGCUCCGUUCAUUAUAAAUCAUGUAAGUUUAUCAUCUUCAAUUUUCUGAAUGUGUGCGUGUGUAUUUGUUUUUUUGUUACAAGAUACUAACAAAAUUCUUUUCUUAUUUAUGUUCAGGUUUUAGUUUUCAUCUAGGAAUAAAGGCAAGCUCCAUUUGGAGUAAAGUGAAACUUCUAGCUUCGUGUCCGAAUUCGUUAAAUAAAUGUCGGGAUGUAUCGUCUUUGAGCUAUAAUAUUUCUGAUCCAGACAAUAUCUAUUUUGUUUCUUUGGUGGCAAUCUUGCACUUCCUGGUCUUAGUCUAUUCAAGUGACAGACAAAUCAAAAGGGAGAAGCGAGAUUAAUUUAUUUGUGAUCUCUUUGAUUUAUUUGUGCAUAUAUCAAUAUGAACGUGUAUGAUAUUUUUCUAUUUAUUGAAGAUUUUUUUACUGUAACCUGUUAUUGUGUUUGUCAAAAGGUGUUAAUAAAGAAUCACAUUCAAUUUCUGUUAAAUUAUCAGUAUUUGUUUCUUUCUAACAACUACCAUUCAUGCAAAUGUGGCUAUUAAAAAAAGCUCCAAUGACACAUAAAAAGCUUCCAAACAAUAUAUAAACAAAGAUGCAUUGUUUUCUGUUAAGAAGGGGACAGGGUUACGGUUACUUGUGUACCAAGUUAGUUAUCCAUGCUUUCUUGUUCAUAGGAUUUAUAUGGUGUAGUUGCACUUAGUUGCUAAAUGUAUGCAAGCUUUUCCUUUCUAUAAAUAAGCACACCUACUAUCAUUCUUCUCCACAUUCCUUUCUACUCUUCUAUCAUGAAUUGUUCAUCCACAUAAGAUGGUCACAGAGCACACCUAAUACUCUGCUACUGGUGUAUCAGUUCCUUUCCACCAGAAACUUAUGAUCUCUAAUUGAAAGAGAUCCUAAAGUUUUAAGAUUUCUACAAAAUACAUUAUUCUCAUUUUUGUACAAGUAUGAUACAAUUAUUCCCAAGUAUUAUUUAUUCUAAGGAAUAGAAUUUAGUUGUGGUUUCUCUAUUUAACCAACAUUUAUUUUUAAAUAACUAAAUUUAAAAAAAAAAUCCUGAAAUUAUUAAGUACAUACCUAACACAUUGUAAAAUUUUGUUCCCAAAGAAAAUAUUUUUGGCAAUAGAAUUUUCAGGAACUUCAUUCCUAGGAAUAUAAUUCUAUACUAAGAGAAGAGCUUAAGCAUUGAUACAUAACAAGACCAAUCCAUAUCCUAAUCACAAUCCUACUUUCACUAAAUACUUUCACUUAAGUGUGGUCUUGGAAAGGACAAAUGAAGAAAGACAUUCCAGAGGUAUGGUAAGGGACAAUAUCUGCAGUUAUGCACAUAUUGCAAGAUUGUGAGGAACUACCGGACUGAUUUGAUUCACCAAAAAAUUUGGAAUAAAUAUUUCAGCCCAGAACUCAGACAAUGACUGGAUUGGAACCUUUCAGCUUCUAAUAUCGGUACUGUCCAAGGAAAUAGUCAUUCUCUUUUUGGAGUAGCUGUGAAGGAUUUAUGGAAAGAUAGAACUAAGCUGGUCUUUUCUAGAAACACCGCGAUUGGAACUACUCUAUUUUGGCUUGUAGCCAAUCCGGCUAAGUUUAUUAACAAUGUAGUUUGUACUCAAGCUCACAGUCACGAUGUUGUCAGCAACAGUGGGCAUAUUGUUUAGGUAGCCUGGAAUUUUCCUCCCCAACACUUCUUCAAAGUGAAUAUGAUGGAUCUCUACGGGAUUAUGUUAGUUUCCAGGAUCGAACUCAGAACCUCCUGAUUAUAACUCCUUCAAUGUAUGUCCCUUACCCACGUGGGGCCUCGGCUGUAAUUGUUAACAUGGUAAAAUUUGGCUCUUCCAAUAAUGGUUUUAUCCAAACUCGAGGUUGUUUAUCGUCUCCAACAAUCAGAUUGGAGAAUACUAGUGGUUCAUGCAUUUGAACAAACCAACUGUUGUGCAGAUUUUCUAGUUGAUUUUGUUUUUCCUUUUUUGAGUAUUUUAUUAGCCAAUGAUAUAAGAGGUUGUAGCCUACCUCUUUUGAUUUCUUAAGACAAUCACUUUUGCAUUAGAAAAAAACGACCCUACAUAAAAUUAAUGAUUGAAUUAAGAUAUAACUUCAGUUUGAAAUAUUGUAAAAUUCUAUACCACCAAAAACUGAGAAUUUUAGAACCAUACAGGUUGGUGGAGUGGUCAUCCAGAUAACUUUAACAUAAUUAACAGUCCAAAAAGUAAAUAGCUUUAUCCUUUAUUUUCAAUCUGAUGUGAUUUACUCUUAUCUGUUAAACAUUAUAAUUAAGAAUCCAAAGGGAACACUCACCUAAUCUCUCUCUUUUUUCUAGCUUUUUCACUAAACCACUGUGUCUGUGGUUACCACAUUUCCUUAUGGAAUCAAUAUCCAAUUUAUGUUAAAAACCAUUUCUACAUUUUGUGUUAAAAAUGAUCUAAACAAAGAUGAUUUAUUUCUCUUAAAUUCAACAUAGAUCAUAUUUACAUGGUUCAAACUUUCUAUUACACGGCAUUGACUUAGUUGCUUCACAUGGGGACACAACUAAUGCAUAUAUUAUUUUAUAUGCUUAUAGUAAUUUUAACAAGUGGCAAUGGGGCAUAUGUUUUGUCAAAAAAACACAAAAAACAGGAGGCAUGUGCAACUGAAGUCACUGCCAGCUUGGCACUAAGAUAUAGUAAAAUAAUUGACAUUUGAAGAAAACAAAGACGUUGCUACAUUUCUAUUCAAACAAGCGACAUCAAUAUCAGACAAUGGUGCUACAUUUAAUAAUACUACAGCUAUCCCCAUAAGCACCUCUUAGAAAGAAAAAAAAAUAUCCAUUAAAUUAAUGUUGGAAGAGUUAGCAACAUGUCCUCUCCCAAAAAAACUCAUGUUUGAUUCCUAGAGUCGUCCAUUUCGAAAGAAGCUCAACCCUGAUAAUAAAAACCUAGAUGUUAUGCUGCAGACUUAAAGAUCAAUUUCAUAAUGGAUCCAAAGGGCCUAAGCUGUGUGGGAUACUUAAGGGGGUAUAUUGAGGCUAAGGGUCAAAGAUCUUAAUUAUGGUCGGUUAAAAAAAGAAGAAAAAAAAAUUAUCUCUAAAUAUAAAGUCAACAAUAUUUCAAAUUGCAAGAUACAUUUAUUUAUUUUUUAAAUAUGUAUAUACCUCUUAUUAAUACUUACUAAUUUGUUUUGAGUGAUAAAAAGUUACGAGUUAGACAGAUCAGCACAUAAAAAAAGUAUUUGAAAAACAUCUACCAACAAAAUAAACACAUUAAAAACAAUACUACUUUUUUACAAUACUGUAUGUGAAAAUGACAAAAUCUUGAAAAAGAUGGAGGUAACAUGUACUCUUUUUUUUUUAGAGGGGAGCAUGUACUUUUCCACUAACAAUGUUGAUAAGAAACAUAUAAAAUACUAUUAGAGAAAGAAAAAAAAUAAUAAAUAAAGAAAUAUAUAAAAUACUGAGGAAUGACUCACUCAUGUCAAAUUUUAGCAAGGGAGAAGUGAUAUCACAUCAUUUUAGAAGAGGAAUGAGAAUAGAUAGAUCUAAUUUUUCUAGUAAGUUUGAAUAGUAGAAUCAUACUUCUUUGUCUUUUGUGAAAAUUUCAUAUUAUGGGAUCUAUUACUAGAAUACAGGUGAUUUUAUUCUGGAAGAUUGACUUUUUAUUAAAAUAAAAUAAAAGUACAUUUUUUAUUUCCAAAUGCUUAGUUGUUCAUUUAUAAAUAUUACAUUAUCCAACAGCACCAAACCCUAUUUCAUAACGGUACUCUGCACGUUUCAUUCAUUUACUGGUGCCUUAGUUUUUUGUUACAAACAGACAUUGAUCAGAGGAACAAAUGUAGAGACAAAUUGAAGAUAAUAUAUCACAUAAUAUUGUAGACACACCUUCACAUACAAAUGGGGUAAAGUCCCUCAUAGUAGUAUUAGAAAUAACACUUAGAGUAAAAUUUUGCUAAAUUUAACAUGAAAAUAAGUGUAAUGUAUUUUAUAGGCAGCUAUACAUAAUUAUUAAUUAGAACAAUUUUUUACACUGUCAAACAAAAAUUGAACAAUUUUUUACUAGCUUUAUGCUUUAUGAUGUUUUGAUUCCAUGUGCACAUUUCAAUUUUAGAACUAUUCCUUUCUAUGUUACUGAAAUAAUUCUAUCAUUAGGCAUUGACAUUUCCAUUAUGCGUGCACGUUAAAGUGUUUUCCCAAACAGAGAAAUAUUAAGAAAGGUUAAACUUUUGACUUAAAGACACAACUAAAAUAAGAUCCAAGGAAAACCCCAUUGAUUAUUUCUUGCACAAAAUUAAAAACCCCAUUGAUUAUUUCUUGCACAAAAUUAAAAUGCUAAUAAUUUUUCCUGGUCUAUAUUUUUCUCCUUCCGGGAAAUGGCAACAUCACAUGUUCAUCUCAUAAUUGAGAAAACACAUGUCUGGGAAAAUAUCUUAAAGAAAAGGCAGUAAAGUAAUAAAAAGUGCACCAAAUAGAGAUUAACUAGUACUCUUUGCAUGUCAACUAAGUGGUAUAAUUAUGUAUAUCACAUUCUUAAUAUUGAUUAUCUUGAUUGCACGAUAAGCCCCUCAAAUUGCUCAAUCGAUGAUUGCUUGAUAAGCCCAUCAAAUUGCCCAAUCGAUCGAAUCGUAACUUUCGAUAGACAUUUUUUUUAAGAAAACCCAAUUGGAUCAUAACUCCCCAUAGUCAUUUAUUUGAAAUUGUGAGCAAUUUGAUAACUUAUUGAGCAAUCACCAUUGAUUUUAGUCUCAAUUUAUCCUAAUGUUGUAACCCUGGAAUAAUGGAACAGUGAGUAAAUUUGGUUUCUCCGUCUCAAAAUAAGUGUCACAAUUUAACCAUGUGCACUACUCAUCAAAUCUACUUUGACAACAUUUUUUUUACUAAUAUAUAAAGACAAUGUUAGUACAUUACAUGUUCGAUUUGUCUUAGUUAAUGUUUUUAAAAUAUCGACUUUAUUAUAAUUUUUCUUAAUAGACAAUCAAAAAUAUCAAUUGUCAAAAUUGUGUAUUGAUAUGUAUGAAAAUCAAACUAUAACACUUACUUUGAGACGAAGAGAAUAACUAUUAAAAACUAAUGUUCAAAUAGAAAGAAAAGAAAACAAAGAUUCCAUACAAAGCUUGCAAAAUAGCUACAAUCAUAACCUAGAACAAAAAUCAUGACCACACACUAUAUCCAUUUUCCUUUUCCUAAAAAGCAAUUGAAGAUAAAAAAAAAAAAAAUAAUAAAUAAAAAAAAAAAAAAAAAAAAAAAAAANACCACCAUACUACUACAAAUCCCCACCUCCACCAUCGCCUUCUCCUCCACCACCAUACUACUACAAAUCCCCACCUCCACCAUCGCCUUCUCCUCCACCACCAUACUACUACAAAUCCCCACCUCCACCAUCGCCUUCUCCUCCACCACCAUACUACUACAAAUCCCCACCUCCACCAUCGCCUUCUCCUCCACCACCAUACUACUACAAAUCCCCACCUCCACCAUCGCCUUCUCCUCCACCACCAUACUACUACAAAUCCCCACCUCCACCAUCGCCUUCUCCUCCACCACCAUACUACUACAAAUCCCCACCUCCACCAUCGCCUUCUCCUCCACCACCAUACUACUACAAAUCCCCACCUCCACCAUCGCCUUCUCCUCCACCACCAUACUACUACAAAUCCCCACCUCCACCAUCGCCUUCUCCUCCACCACCAUACUACUACAAAUCCCCACCUCCACCAUCGCCUUCUCCUCCACCACCAUACUACUACAAAUCCCCACCUCCACCAUCGCCUUCUCCUCCACCACCAUACUACUACAAAUCCCCACCUCCACCAUCGCCUUCUCCUCCACCACCAUACUACUACAAAUCCCCACCUCCACCAUCGCCUUCUCCUCCACCACCAUACUACUACAAAUCCCCACCUCCACCAUCGCCUUCUCCUCCACCACCAUACUACUACAAAUCCCCACCUCCACCAUCGCCUUCUCCUCCACCACCAUACUACUACAAAUCCCCACCUCCACCAUCGCCUUCUCCUCCACCACCAUACUACUACAAAUCCCCACCUCCACCAUCGCCUUCUCCUCCACCACCAUACUACUACAAAUCCCCACCUCCACCAUCGCCUUCUCCUCCACCACCAUACUACUACAAAUCCCCACCUCCACCAUCGCCUUCUCCUCCACCACCAUACUACUACAAAUCCCCACCUCCACCAUCGCCUUCUCCUCCACCACCAUACUACUACAAAUCCCCACCUCCACCAUCGCCUUCUCCUCCACCACCAUACUACUACAAAUCCCCACCUCCACCAUCGCCUUCUCCUCCACCACCAUACUACUACAAAUCCCCACCUCCACCAUCGCCUUCUCCUCCACCACCAUACUACUACAAAUCCCCACCUCCACCAUCGCCUUCUCCUCCACCACCAUACUACUACAAAUCCCCACCUCCACCAUCGCCUUCUCCUCCACCACCAUACUACUACAAAUCCCCACCUCCACCAUCGCCUUCUCCUCCACCACCAUACUACUACAAAUCCCCACCUCCACCAUCGCCUUCUCCUCCACCACCAUACUACUACAAAUCCCCACCUCCACCAUCGCCUUCUCCUCCACCACCAUACUACUACAAAUCCCCACCUCCACCAUCGCCUUCUCCUCCCCCACCUUACUAUUACAAAUCCCCACCGCCACCUUCACCAUCUCCCCCACCACCCUACUACUAUAAAUCACCCCCACCACCUUCACCAUCUCCUCCACCACCAUACUACUACAAAUCACCCCCACCGCCAUAUGAACACAAGACUAAACCAUACUAUUACAAGUCUCCUCCACCACCAUAUGAACACAAGACUAAACCAUACUAUUACAAGUCCCCACCACCACCUUCACCAUCUCCUCCACCACCAUACUAUUACAAGUCCCCACCACCACCUUCACCGUCUCCACCCCCACCAUACUACUACAAAUCACCUCCUCCUCCAUCACCUAUUCCCCAUACACCUUACUACUACAAGUCCCCACCACCACCUAAGGUUCUUCCACCACCAUACUAUUACAACUCUCCUCCUCCACCUGUUGUGUAUCAUCACCCUCAUCCCUACCACCAUGCAUUGAUCGUGAAGGUAGUGG